rnacentral:lncRNA from 1 species
UUUGUUAUGAUGGAGGUCGUUGGAACAGGACAAAUGGGCUGAUCCCUGGCUGAUGGUGGGCCGGGACAGCCCCGAGGCAACGCCCCUGCUUGGCAUGAACAAGUGCUGGGUCAGCCCAGCGUGGACAAUGGGAAAAAUCAAGGUUCACAGUUGUUAAAACAACACCCCACUUCACGUGCUCAUUUGUGAAGUGGCAGUGCCGUUACUAACGCGGGUCUGUUCUGAGGAGCGACCUGUGAAGAUGGUUUCAAAGCACUUUGUGAUGAAGAGAAUGUUCUAUAAGUGGGUACUGAAAAUAAUCAAGACAUUCAUGGAUCCAAACAGGCCACAGAAACACCAUAGCAACAAAUGAACAAUAAUUGCUGCCUUACAGGCUAUUUCCUCAGCGACGCUCUCAUUCAAUCAGCACUCACGCCGUGUGCUCAGGAGGAGCGCAGGUCAGGUCUGGCUGCCACCAUCCAUGAAGAGGGUGUGCAGAACCAGACCAGGGUGGGGGCAAGAGGAAAGGUGGGUUUGUUCCCUCAUUUCCUUCCUCUCAGCUUCCUGCCCACUUAUUCCCUGACAUCUCCUCAGCACCGACAGAGAUGUGGUAGGUCUGGGCAUCCCGCACCCCAAGCCACUUAAUCCAAGUCACCUAAUAAGAUGUGCUGUGAAGAAACUAUCUCUUGCCCCAAAGUUCUUACCUUGAUGGACAUACAGCUAAGUCAAUGUAACGGAUGAGGCUGUGAGAGGAUAGUGAUGACAUGAUCCAUCUCUCUCUAAGACCACCAUCAAUAACGCAGCAAUGAGGGCCAUGGCUCCCUCAGCCUUGGGAAGUCUGCAAAAGCUAAUACAAAAUGUGCCAUUUCCAAGUUAUUUUUGGAAACAGACACAAGGUAGAUGUUACCCCCGCCCUGCUUCCCUAAGGCACAGAGGCUGGAAAGGAUUCACAGGCUCUGUUGGAUUCACCAUAAUUGGAAACCAAACCCUCAAUAAUAACCCCAGGAAUCCCCAGGAAGAUGCCAACAUGAGAAGGAAGGAUUCCGUUUUCGAGAGAAGGCCCUUGGCCUUACCCAUCUUGAUGACGUGUCGGCUGGCUGGAGAUGCCCAAGUUAGCGGAAGGCUCUGCAUGGGCGUGGAUGACACCAUGAUCCAGUGAAUCAAGUCCCCCAGGAAACCUGAAGCCGUCAACCAGACAGUGCUAAGGCGAAAGAGAUUCGCGUGGAGGGCAGCAUCUUGGUGGAGCCUAUUUAUAGGCAUAUACAUGAAGAAGAGGUCAAGGAAAUCUUUUUUGGUCAACUCGCCAAAGCUUUCAGUUACAUCUAGUUAUGAUGGGGCAUUUAAGUCCGUUACAUUCUGGGAAAACAAUUCGACUGACCACAGACCACCAAGUAGCUUUUGGAACUACCCUAGAGAGAAUUUCCCGCUUUAGGAUGUUAGAGGACUCCAAGAGAACAGAGGCUGUAACUAAUCUGACCCUUAUCAGGAAGAAAUAGUGGGAGAUUUAAAGACGAACCACUUGGAGGAGGAUGGUUUGGAGGAAUCAGUCAUGAAAUAACCAGAUGCAAUAUUUAAAGGGAAGGAAAAAAAGAGAAAUCGAAAAAAUAAAGAAAAGAGAUGGUCUAUGAGUUGAUAAUUG